GCUGCACCUGCGCUUCCGGAGCCUGUGCUCUGCAACAGGAGAGGCCACAACAGUGAGAGGCCCGCGUACCGCAAAAAAAAAAAAAAAAAUUAACUUUUCAUUAUACUAAACAAAAUACUCCUAUUUGAGACCAUGCGUGGAAGAUUCAAUAUUCUUAAUUUGGUUUAGCUACGUGCUUCUCUAUGGAAGUUGAUUACGCUCAAAUUCACUACAAGGAGCGAGUCUGUGAAAUGCCAGUAUUAAGUGCAUAACGAAGGCGCCAGUAAAGCCGUAGGUUCCCAAAGCUCCGCGUGCGCACCUGUGGGGCAGCCGCCUGGGGUCAGGCACUUCGGCAGCAGGUGGUUCUGCAGGUAGUUGGCAGGUGGCCUGGGAUUUCUGCAGUCCUGAAGCCCAUCACUGUUGCAGACAUUACUGAUCCUGAAGUAUCAACAAGCACAGUUGGAAGUGAUGCAUGCGUGUUCAUGUGGAUGUAAGUAAAGCUGUGACUGUGUUGAAUUUUGUACUUUUUAAUUUCAGUUAAAUUAAAGCUUUUUAUUGUCACCUUUAUUAAUAAAAGGAGCGAAUUAGACCUAAUUCACUGAUCUCAAGAAGUGAACAGACUUUGUGGUUUGUAUAAUGUUAGUUUUUCAUUGCAUACUAGCCUAAACACUUCAGAAAUAUUUACUAGGCUCCGAAAUGUAAAGGGAAGUGAUCAUGUAUGGAUCAAGGUUAUGUGACAUUAGAAUCUGAUUUUAUACCAUUUAAGUGAAGCUGAGCCAUGGACACCAAGAGGAAGCAGGACAGAAUGUGGGCCAGGGCAGCCUGGGAGCCGCUCCACCAAGCUGCCCUCAGUCUGUGGGCCGUGAUCUCAGUCUCGGUCAGGCUUUUUGUUUCACGUGAGGAAAUAGCGCUGCGUGAAGAUGUAGUCUGUUGCUAAAAGUCCCCCAGUGUGCUCACUGUAAAAUGUAUUUCCUUGGAUGUCAUCUCUGUAAAAAGUCAUUUUCUAUAAAGAUUGUGGUUCUGUUCUGGCCCUCUGGAAUCUGUGUCAAAUGUGUGAUUUAUUUUUGAUAUUCGAUAGGAGCUAGGUUUCUGUGCAAUGAUUUGAAAUUGUUUCAAUGGAAUGAUCAUCGGGGUGUGGCGCUUUAAUUUUGCAGAAAACUUUUGAAUAGUAGCAUCUGAAAUCUGUCAUUUUUCUGUUACCCACAGAAUCUGAUCUUUUUAUGGUAUCUGGGAGGAUGGGGAGAAAAUGCCAACUAUGAGACUCGCUUUGUCAUCAGCAGUACAUACAUCUGAUCCGAUAGUUUUAAUAGCUUAAAAUUCAGCUGUGAAAAAGCUCUCUUUCCACAUGUGUCCCUUGAUUAGAUAGAAGGUUUUGAGUGUGAUUAGCAUUUUCUUUUUGUUGAGAAGUACAUAUUGAAACAUUAACCCAGGAAAUAACAUUUUUAUGGUAAAACCUGUAUUGUACGGUGGAGUUUUUCAAAUGUUUCUUUGUGUGUCAGAUGUCAAUAAAAGUCUCGUUUUAUUGA